rnacentral:rRNA from 1 species
GGAGACCUACGGGACGCAGCAGUAGGGAAUCUUCCACAAUGAGCGCAAGCCUGAUGGAGCAACACCGCGUGAGUGAAGAAGGGUUUCGGCUCGUAAAGCUCUGUUGUUGGAGAAGAACGUGCGUGAGAGUAACUGUUCACGCAGUGACGGUAUCCAAACAGAAAGUCACGGCUAACUACGUGCCAGCAGCCGCGGUAAUACGUAGGUGGCAAGCGUUACCCGGAUUUAUUGGGCGUAAAG